rnacentral:tRNA from 1 species
GAGGGUGUAGCUCAAGUGCUAAAUAAAGCACAUGCUUAACAUGCACGAGGUCCUGGGUUCAAUUCCCAGUACCUCCU